rnacentral:rRNA from 1 species
CCUACGAGUGGCAGCAGUGGGGAAUAUUGCACAAUGGGGGAAACCCUGAUGCAGCAACGCCGCGUGAGUGAAGAAGUAUUUCGGUAUGUACAGCUCUAUCAGCAGGGAAGAACAUGACAGUACCUGACUAAGAAGCCCCGGCUAACUACGUGCCAGCAGCCGCGGUAAUACGUAGGGGGCAAGCGUUAUCCGGAUUUACUGGGUGGAAAGGGAGCGUAGACGGCUGCGCAAGUCAGAAGUGAAAGCCCGGGGCUCAACCGCGGGACUGCUUGUGAAACUGUGUAGCUAGAGUGCAGGAGAGGUAAGUGGAAUUCCUAGUGUAGCGGUGAAAUGCGUAGAUAUUAGGAGGAACACCAGUGGCGAAGGCGGCUUACUGGACUGUAACUGACGUUGAGGCUCGAAAGCGUGGGGAGCAAACAGGAUUAGAUACCCCUGUAGUC